GAGACAUGGCUCGCAUUAUUACUCUUUGGCUGGCAUGCACAGCUCUAGCUGUGAGUUGUGCUGAGGAGCCAGACCCACAGAGGGAGUUUCCACAGUCUAAGAGGACAGGACAAGAAAGAGCUCAACAUGGUCUUUUUAUAGCUGCCAACUUAGAUGAAACUGAAGGCAUGAAACCUGGAUUGAGGGACUCACGGUCUCAUUCAAGUUGGGCCUCAUCAUCUAAACAAAGACCAAGACAGUUAGAAUUAGAGCUGAAAGUGAGACGUAAAUAUAUGAAUAAAGGGAAGCCUGAACCAGAUUGUGAAGAAUGUAGAUCAACUCUAAAGAAAGUUAAAGACUCAGCGGGUAAAAACAAGAACAAAAUCAAACUGGGAAUUGAAUCUGCGUGUAAAGGUGGGACGAUCAAGUGCUGUAAGACGCUUCGUGAUAAUAAAAGUCUAAUAGCUGAUAAUAUCAGUGAUGGCAAAAUGCCACUGGAAAUAUGUCAAACUCUUAAGUUGUGCAAUUCAGUGCUACACUGACAACAUGACACACAAAGAGGCCAAAGCUUGGCUUACACUUCCUGAUUUCUGUUCUUUUUACUUUGCCCCAUUCUGAGAAAAAUGCCAUUUUCUAAAUUACAUUUAGAUGAUGAUGAUGUUUCUAAGAUGUAUUCAAAGAUGCAUAUUAUCUACUUUUUAAUUACUGUUGUUCUUUAUAUUUUACUUUCCUAUGCAUUUUUCUGAUUGCAUUGUACAAGUUAUGAUGUUGCUAAAAUACACAAAAUAAACAUUUGGCUUCCUUUCAAAUAUAA